rnacentral:rRNA from 1 species
UACAGAGGGGGCAAGCGUUGUUCGGAAUUACUGGGCGUAAAGGGCGCGUAGGCGGCCUUCUAAGUCGAACGUGAAAUCCCCGGGCUCAACCCGGGAACUGCGUCCGAUACUGGGAGGCUUGAAUCCGGGAGAGGGAUGUGGAAUUCCAGGUGUAGCGGUGAAAUGCGUAGAUAUCUGGAGGAAUACCGGUGGCGAAGGCGGCAUCCUGGACCGGCAUUGACGCUGAGGAGCGAAAGCCAGGGGAGCAAACGGG